UGUUCAGAUGACAUAUGAAUUUAAAAUAAAUUGAAAAUCUUUCCCUUCUGCUGUAUACUGUAUACUGUAGCUCUCAAAUCUUGUUUGAACUAACAUCUCCUAUCGUGUUUUCUUCUCUUUUUUUAGAUGAAUGAAAAUCCUUCAUCCUCAGAACGACAUGAGGAUGCCGAAAAAAUAGACUGAUGCAAAGUGGAGCCUGUCAAGCCAAUGAGGACAGAAGAUGAAGACAGGACCGCCGAAAUAAGGAGAGACAAAAGAAACUGCUGCUCGAAGACUGAGAAGCAGGUAAUGAACUUUGAACGAAUUGAAUAUUGAAUAUAAUAUGAAUAUUUAAUAACACACAAAUGCAGUAU
ensembl:lncRNA